UACGUAGGGUGCAAGCGUUAAUCGGAAUUACUGGGCGUAAAGCGUGCGCAGGCGGUGAUGUAAGACAGAUGUGAAAUCCCCGGGCUCAACCUGGGAACUGCAUUUGUGACUGCAUCGCUGGAGUGCGGCAGAGGGGGGAUGGAAUUCCGCGUGUAGCAGUGAAAUGCGUAGAUAUGCGGAGGAACACCGAUGGCGAAGGCAAUCCCCCUGGGCCUGCACUGACGCUCAUGCACGAAAAGCGUGGGGAGCAAACAGG
rnacentral:rRNA from 1 species